rnacentral:rRNA from 1 species
GAUGAACGCUGGCGGCGUGCCUAAUACAUGCAAGUAGAACGCUGAAGGAAGGAGCUUGCUCUUUCCGGAUGAGUUGCGAACGGGUGAGUAACGCGUAGGUAACCUGCCUGGUAGCGGGGGAUAACUAUUGGAAACGAUAGCUAAUACCGCAUAACAGUAGAUGUUGCAUGAUAUCUACUUAAAAGGUGCAAUUGCACCACUACCAGAUGGACCUGCGUUGUAUUAGCUAGUUGGUGAGGUAACGGCUCACCAAGGCGACGAUACAUAGCCGACCUGAGAGGGUGAUCGGCCACACUGGGACUGAGACACGGCCCAGACUCCUACGGGAGGCAGCAGUAGGGAAUCUUCGGCAAUGGACGGAAGUCUGACCGAGCAACGCCGCGUGAGGGAAGAAGGUUUUCGGAUCGUAAAGCUCUGUUGUAAGAGAAGAACGAGUGUGAGAGUGGAAAGUUCACACUGUGACGGUAUCUGACCAGAAAGGGACGGCUAACUACGUG